UACAGAGGGUGCAAGCGUUGUUCGGAAUUAUUGGGCGUAAAGGGUGUGUAGGUGGCGCGCUAAGUCGGGUGUGAAAUUUCGGAGCUUAACUCCGAAACUGCAUUCGAUACUGGCGUGCUUGAGGACUGGAGAGGAGACUGGAAUUCAUGGUGUAGCAGUGAAAUGCGUAGAGAUCAUGAGGAAGACCAGUGGCGAAGGCGGGUCUCUGGACAGUUCCUGACACUGAGACACGAGGGCCAGGGGAGCAAACGGG
rnacentral:rRNA from 1 species